CUGCCCUCAAGCCCGGCUUGUGUGUUGGGUCUUCGUCCCCCCCACCCGGGGGGACGGGCCCGAAAGGCAGUGGCGGCACCGCGUCCGGUCCUCGAGUGUAUGGGGCUCUGUCACUCACUCCGUAGGCCUGGCCGGUGCCCGCCGACCCCCCGUCUUCCUUUUUUCCAGG
rnacentral:misc_RNA from 1 species